rnacentral:rRNA from 1 species
CUUAAGUGCUGUCCGAUGAGGAUACCUUUUCUUUUUGUAAUGAGCUGGUGGAAUAAAGGGGGGGCAAGUCUGGUGUCAGCCGCCGCGGUAAUACCAGCCCCCUGAGUGAUAGGGACGAUUAUUUAGCCUAAAGCGUCCGUAGCCGGUUUAGCAAGUCUUUCGUUAAAUCUGGCGACUUAAUCGUCAGACCGCGGAAGAUACUGCUAGACUAGAGGGCGGGAGAGGUUGACGGUAGUCCCGGAGUAGGGGUGAAAUCCUAUAAUCCCGGGAGGACCACCAGUGGCGAAGGCGGUCAACCAGAACGCGCCUGACGGUGAUGGACGAAAGCUGGGGGAGCGAACCGGAUUAGACACCCGGGUAGUCCCAGCUGUAAACGAUGCAGGCUAGGUGUUGGUGCAGCUACGGGCUGCUCCAGUGCCGCAGAGAAGUCGUUAAGCCUGCCGCUUGGGAAGUACGGCCGCAAGGCUGAAACUUAAAGGAAUUGGCGGGGGAGCACCACAAGGGGUGAAGCCUGCGGUUCAAUUGGAGUCAACGCCGGGAAACUUACCAAGGCUGACAGCAGAGUGAAGGCCAGACUAAAGAUCUUGCUAGACAAGCUGAGAGGUGGCGCAUGGCCGUCGACAGUUCGUGCCGUGAGGUGUCCUGUUAAGUCAGGCAACGAACGAGACCCUCACUAUUAGUUUGCUAGAGGGUUUCCAACGGAAUGCCGGGCACACUAAUGGGACUGCCAUCGAUAAAGAUGGAGGAAGGAGAGGGCCACGGCAGGUCAAGUAUGCCCCAAUGCCUUGGGCCCACACGCGGGCUGCAUGGUAGGGACAAAGGUUCUGACCUCCGAAAGGGGGAAGUAAUCUCUAACCCUAUCGAUGGUUGAGAUUGAAACUGGCAAAUGACAGGACAUGAUCCUUAACCGGUCAUCGCCUUAUGUCCCUAUUAAACCCGGGGUUCUCGCGCAGUGAUCUCCCC